GACGAACGCUGGCGGCGUGCCUAAUACAUGCAAGUAGAACGCACAGUUUAUACCGUAGCUUGCUACACCAUAGACUGUGAGUUGCGAACGGGUGAGUAACGCGUAGGUAACCUGCCUGGUAGCGGGGGAUAACUAUUGGAAACGAUAGCUAAUACCGCAUAAUAUUGAUUAUUGCAUGAUAAUUGAUUGAAAGAUGCUAUUGCAUCACUACCAGAUGGACCUGCGUUGUAUUAGCUAGUAGGGGAGGUAACGGCUCACCUAGGCGACGAUACAUAGCCGACCUGAGAGGGUGAUCGGCCACACUGGGACUGAGACACGGCCCAGACUCCUACGGGAGGCAGCAGUAGGGAAUCUUCGGCAAUGGACGAAAGUCUGACCGAGCAACGCCGCGUGAGUGAAGAAGGUUUUCGGAUCGUAAAGCUCUGUUGUAAGAGAAGAACGGGUGUGAGAGUGGAAAGUUCACACUGCGACGGUAUCUUACCAGAAAGGGACGGCUAACUACGUG
rnacentral:rRNA from 1 species